rnacentral:rRNA from 1 species
GACAGAGGGGGCAAGCGUUGCUCGGAAUAACUGGGCGUAAAGAGCGCGCAGGCGGUCGGAUAAGUCGAAUGUGAAAGCCCCCGGCUCAACUGGGGAGGGUCAUUCGAUACUGUUCGACUCGAAGGCAGGAGAGGGAAGUGGAAUUCCCGGUGUAGUGGUGAAAUGCGUAGAUAUCGGGAGGAACACCAGUGGCGAAGGCGACUUCCUGGCCUGUUCUUGACGCUGAGGCGCGAAAGCUAGGGGAGCAAACGGG